rnacentral:rRNA from 1 species
UCUCGCUAUGGGAUGAGGCUAUAUCGUAUCAGCUAGUUGGUAGGGUAAUGGCUUACCAAGGCUAUGACGCGUAACUGGUCUGAGAGGAUGAUCAGUCACACUGGAACUGAGACACGGUCCAGACUCCUACGGGAGGCAGCAGUAGGGAAUAUUGCUCAAUGGGGGAAACCCUGAAGCAGCAACGCCGCGUGGAGGAUGACACUUUUCGGAGCGUAAACUCCUUUUCUUGGGGAAGAAAUUUGACGGUACCCAAGGAAUAAGCACCGGCUAACUCCGUGCCAGCAGCCGCGGUAAUACGGAGGGUGCAAGCGUUACUCGGAAUCACUGGGCGUAAAGGACGCGUAGGCGGAUUAUCAAGUCUCUUGUGAAAUCCAAUGGCUUAACCAUUGAACUGCUUGAGAAACUGAUAAUCUAGAGUGAGGGAGAGGCAGAUGGAAUUGGUGGUGUAGGGGUAAAAUCCGUAGAGAUCACCAGGAAUACCCAUUGCGAAGGCGAUCUGCUGGAACUCAACUGACGCUAAUGCGUGAAAGCGUGGGGAGCAAACAGGAUUAGAUACCCUGGUAGUCCACGCCCUAAACGAUGUAUACUAGUUGUUGCUAAGCUAGUCUUGGCAGUAAUGCACCUAACGGAUUAAGUAUACCGCCUGGGGAGUACGGUCGCAAGAUUAAAACUCAAAGGAAUAGACGGGGACCCGCACAAGCGGUGGAGCAUGUGGUUUAAUUCGAAGAUACGCGAAGAACCUUACCCGGACUUGAUAUCUAACAAAUCAUCUAGAGAUAGAAGAGUGUCUGCUUGCAGAAAUGUUAAGACAGGUGCUGCACGGCUGUCGUCAGCUCGUGUCGUGAGAUGUUGGGUUAAGUCCCGCAACGAGCGCAACCCACGUCAUUAGUUGCUAACGGUUCGGCCGAGCACUCUAAUGAGACUGCCUUCGCAAGGAGGAGGAAGGUGUGGACGACGUCAAGUCAUCAUGGCCCUUAUGUCCGGGGCGACACACGUGCUACAAUGGCAUAUACAAUGAGACGCAAUAUCGCGAGAUGGAGCAAAUCUAUAAAAUAUGUCCCAGUUCGGAUUGGAGUCUGCAACUCGACUCCAUGAAGCCGGAAUCGCUAGUAAUCGUAGAUCAGCCAUGCUACGGUGAAUACGUUCCCGGGUCUUGUACUCACCGCCCGUCACACCAUGGGAGUUGAUUUCACUCGAAGCCCAAAUACCAAACCGGUUAUGGUCCACAGUGGAAUCAGCGACUGGGGUGAAGUCGUAACAAGGUAACCGUAGGAGAACCUGCGGUUGGAUCACCUCCUUUCU